UACGGGGGAUGCAAGCGUUAUCCGGAAUUAUUGGGCGUAAAGCGUCCGUAGGCGGCUAGAUAAGUCUGUUGUUAAAGCGUGCAGCUCAACUGCAUACGGGCAAUGGAAACUAUUUAGCUAGAGUGUGGUAGGGGUAGAGGGAAUUCCCGGUGUAGCGGUGAAAUGCGUAGAUAUCGGGAAGAACACCAGUGGCGAAAGCGCUCUGCUGGGCCACAACUGACGCUGAUGGACGAAAGCUAGGGGAGCGAAAGGG
rnacentral:rRNA from 1 species